CGUGAGAAAUCUGCCUUCAACUCUGGGAUAACUCCGGGAAACCGGGGCUAAUACCGGAUAUGAGCCUUGAUCGCAUGAUCGGGGCUGGAAAGUUUUUCGGUUGAAGAUGAUCUCGCGGCCUAUCAGCUUGUUGGUGAGGUAAUGGCUCACCAAGGCGACGACGGGUAGCCGGCCUGAGAGGGCGACCGGCCACACUGGGACUGAGACACGGCCCAGACUCCUACGGGAGGCAGCAGUGGGGAAUAUUGGGCAAUGGAGGAAACUCUGACCCAGCGACGCCGCGUGAGGGAUGAAGGCCUUCGGGUUGUAAACCUCUUUCAGUAGGGAAGAAGCGAAAGUGACGGUACCUACAGAAGAAGCACCGGCUAACUAUGUGCCAGCAGCCGCGGUAAUACAUAGGGUGCAAGCGUUGUCCGGAAUUAUUGGGCGUAAAGAGCUCGUAGGUGGUUCGAUACGUCGGAUGUGAAAAUCAGGGGCUCAACCCCUGACCUGCAUUCGAUACGGUCGAGCUAGAGUGUGGUAGGGGAGACUGGAAUUCCUGGUGUAGCGGUGGAAUGCGCAGAUAUCAGGAGGAACACCGAUGGCGAAGGCAGGUCUCUGGGCCAUUACUGACACUGAGGAGCGAAAGCGUGGGGAGCGAACAGGAUUAGAUACCCUGGUAGUCCACGCCGUAAACGGUGGGCGCUAGUUGUGCGAACCUUCCACGGUUUGUGCGACGCAGCUAACGCAUUAAGCGCCCCGCCUGGGGAGUACGAUCGCAAGAUUAAAACUCAAAGG
rnacentral:rRNA from 1 species